rnacentral:tRNA from 1 species
GGGUAUAGCUCAGUGGUAGAGCACUUGCCUAGCACGUGUGAGGCACUGGGUUCAAUCUUCAGCACCACA